GCUGCUUUAGGUUUUUGUCAAAGGAGUUAACUGAGAUGUAACACUGUGAUGCUUUCGAUGUCUGGGGAAAGGGAACCGAUGUCACUGUUAAACCAGAUGGUCCAGAUGUGCCUCCAACCAUAUUCAUCCUGAGUCCCCUGCAGACUCCUGGCUACCCCCCAAAGACUGCCGACGAGCUUGGUCCAGAUGUCUGUCUGGUCACAGAUUUCCGUCCAAAGGAGGGAGAUUUGGUUCUAAAUACCAAAGAAGGCCAAGCCAACGUCAGCUCUAUCAACCCUGCUCCGACCAAGACAGGCACCUACUACACUGCUGCAUACAGCAACGAGACCAUCAUCUCCUGUGAGAUGAACGGGACCUUCAGCAAUAAUGAAGCUUAUGAUUUAUGCAGGAACAUAUAUCCAGAAAAAGCCAAGCUGAACUUCUACCUGCUGCUGAUGAACGGAGUCCGGGUGGUGUUCACCAAAGCUCUGGCCUUCAGCACCGUCCUCACCAUCAGAGGCCUGCUCUUCUGAAAAUGACUGAAUUCUAAAGAAGCAGAAAUUAGAUUCAAAAUAUCUAUAUACAUAUCAAGAAAACUGAUCCACGGAAAGCCUUUAGAUUUUGUUUUUUUAAUUAGUAUUAUAAUUCAGACAAGAAUAAACCAAAGCCAAAUAUUUAAAUGUUAUAAAACACAUUUACGCUUUUGUAAAAUUAAUAAAGUGAAAUUUGUAAUCUAUAAGCAAAUUUGAUGGGGCAAAUAAAAAAAAAAGUUACAAAGAACUAUCAUUUUAUUUCAUCAUCGUUGAUAAAUGUAUCAAAAUUUUGAUUGCAUUUUUGCUGUACAUUAAGAUUUUACAUAGAUUACUGUGAAAUUUUUCUUAAUGUUUUUUCUUUCAUAGAUUGUCCAUUUAAAAUGUGUGCAUUUUUGCAAAGAUAUGUAUUUUGUAAUGAACUUCCUUGCUUCUGUGUUUUAAUUUUCAAGACCUAA